rnacentral:lncRNA from 1 species
GUGCAUUAUCAACUUGUUGUCCACAAAGUAAAAGCUGUCUGAGCGGGUCUCGUAUGGGUUUUCAACCAUCAGACGGAUGAGAUCUUCUGAGAGCUGAGGGAAUUCGUAGAUGUGCUCACAUGUGUUCCUGCUACUGGGGAUGCAGAAACCAAAAUCAAAGUCAAAGUUCUUCAGCAAGCGGUCUCGGAAGUAAUGCCUCUCAAUCAUUCGGAAGUUUGACACUGGCUUUUCUCCCACUGUAAACUCCACUGUUGCACCAACAGUCCGAAGACGAAGGAAUGCCGGGGUGAACUGGUAACGAACAAAGCGGCCCGCACUGCUGUCCAGCUCACCGCUGUCAUCUUCAUCCUCGUUGUCUUGCUCUGCAGCAGACGGCUUGGCGAUUUCAAACAGCACCGUCCCCGUCUCCAGGUCUCGGAUCUUGAACCUGGUGAAGUCGAUGUUGUAAAUGUUGUCCUCGGGUUUGCAUAAAUAGUUCUCCGUCACCCGGCACAGCCCCAGGACGUGCUCGGGCCGGACGGUCUCCAGCUCCAGCAGUUCGGAUUCGGUCCACGGCGCUCCGGGUCGCGGGGCCGCGUCCGCCGACCCGCGCCGCCCCCGCAGGCGGCUCAGGGCCCCCCCGCUCCCCGGCGGCGGCUUCUUGUCGGGUCCCGCCGCCGCCCGCGCCCUGGAGCCGCUCAUCGCCCCGCCGCCGCCGCCAAGAUGGCCGC